UACGUAGGCAGCGAGCGUUGUUCGGAGUUACUGGGCGUAAAGGGUGUGUAGGCGGUUUGGUAAGUCUGGUGUGAAAUCUCCCGGCUCCAACUGGGAGGGUGCGCCGGAAACUGCUGAACUAGAGUGCGGGAGAGGAAAGUGGAAUUCCUGGUGUAGCGGUGAAAUGCGUAGAUAUCAGGAGGACACCGGUGGUGUAGACGGCUUUCUGGACCGUAACUGACGCCUGAGACACGAAAGCGUGGGUAGCAAACAGG
rnacentral:rRNA from 1 species